rnacentral:lncRNA from 1 species
UGCGGGGCCAUCUCCUGAUCUUAACUGUCAAAAUCUGACCAAGUGUUCUCCAAGAAUGUGGAAUGAAACUUGGACUCGGACUGGAUCUUACACCAUCUGCUCUCUUGGUUCUUGGACUCAGAUUGAAACUAGACCAUAAGCUCUCUUGGGUCUUCAGCUUUCUAACUGCACAUCUUGGAUAUCUCAGCCUCCAUAACUGUGUAAGCCAAUUCCUUAUAAUAAAUCUCUUUCUCUCUCUCUAUAUAUAUAUAUAAAUGCACACAC